rnacentral:tRNA from 1 species
GGCCCUGUCGUCAAGCGGUUAAGACACAGCCCUCUCAAGGCUGGUUCCCCAGUUCGAAUCUGGGCAGGGUCACCA